AAUGAGCCUGCGAGUUGUGGUGUCUGGCAAGGUUAAGCAAACGCGAAGCCGUAGCGAAAGCGAGUCUGAAUAGGGCGCUUAGUCAGAUGCUGCAGACCCGAAACGAAGUGAUCUAUCCAUGAGCAAGUUGAAGCUAGUGUAAGAACUAGUGGAGGACUGAACCCAUAGGCGUUGAAAAGCCCCGGGAUGACUUGUGGAUAGGGGUGAAAGGCCAAUCAAACUUCGUGAUAGCUGGUUCUCUCCGAAAUAUAUUUAGGUAUAGCGUUGUGUCGUAAUAUAAGGGGGUAGAGCACUGAAUGGGCUAGGGCAUACACCAAUGUACCAAACCCUAUCAAACUCCGAAUACCUUAUAUGUAAUCACAGCAGUCAGGCGGCGAGUGAUAAAAUCCGUCGUCAAGAGGGAAACAACCCAGACUACCAGCUAAGGUCCCUAAAUCUUACUUAAGUGGAAAACGAUGUGAAGUUACUUAAACAACCAGGAGGUUGGCUUAGAAGCAGCCAUCCUUUAAAGAAAGCGUAAUAGCUCACUGGUCUAGUGAUUUUGCGCGGAAAAUAUAACGGGGCUAAAGUAAGUACCGAAGCUGUAGACUUGCGCACAACUUAGAUUAUUUAAGUUUAGAAUAUGAGAAACUAAGUUAUAUGUUUAGUUAUAUUUUUACUGAUUUUUAUAGAGUAAAGAUAGAAAUAAAACUUAGUAAAAUCAGUAAAAAUAUUCUUAGAUUAAAGUUAAGUAGUUUAAGUUGUGUGCAAGUGGUAGGAGAGCGUUCUAUUUGCGUCGAAGGUAUACCGGUAAGGAGUGCUGGAGCGAAUAGAAGUGAGCAUGCAGGCAUGAGUAGCGAUAAUUAAUGUGAGAAUCAUUAACGCCGUAAACCCAAGGUUUCCUACGCGAUGCUCGUCAUCGUAGGGUUAGUCGGGUCCUAAGUCGAGUCCGAAAGGGGUAGACGAUGGCAAAUUGGUUAAUAUUCCAAUACCAACAUUAGUGUGCGAUGGAAGGACGCUUAGGGCUAAGGGGGCUAGCGGAUGGAAGUGCUAGUCUAAGGUCGUAGGAGGUUAUACAGGCAAAUCCGUAUAACAAUACUCCGAGAACUGAAAGGCUUUUUGAAGUCUUCGGAUGGAUAGAAGAACCCCUGAUGCCGUCGAGCCAAGAAAAGUUUCUAAGUUUAGCUAAUGUUGCCCGUACCGUAAACCGACACAGGUGGGUGGGAUGAGUAUUCUAAGGCGCGUGGAAGAACUCUCUUUAAGGAACUCUGCAAAAUAGCACCGUA
rnacentral:rRNA from 1 species